GAACAUGGAAAUCGGUCCGUUCUUAAUUGAAUGUGUACUUGAUUUCUUCGUUCAUCCUCGAAGAAAACAUAUCUGACAUUCAGUUGCCGGAUAUGGGAUCUUCGUCAUUUACUGUGAGCAAAAUAGAGUGUUCAAAGCAGGCUUAGGCCGUUGAAUACAUUAGCAUGGAAUAAUAAGAUAAGACCUUGGUCUAUUUUGUUGGUUUGCAUUCCAAGGUA
rnacentral:rRNA from 1 species